CCUACGGGAGGCAGCAGUGGGGAAUUUUGGACAAUGGACGCAAGUCUGAUCCAGCCAUGCCGCGUGUGGGAAGAAGGCCUUCGGGUUGUAAACCACUUUUGUCAGGGAAGAAACGGCUCACUCUAAUACAGAGGGCUAAUGACGGUACCUGAAGAAUAAGCACCGGCUAACUACGUGCCAGCAGCCGCGGUAAUACGUAGGGUGCAAGCGUUAAUCGGAAUUACUGGGCGUAAAGCGUGCGCAGGCGGUUAUGCAAGACAGAUGUGAAAUCCCCGGGCUCAACCUGGGAACUGCAUUUGUGACUGCAUGGCUAGAGUACGGUAGAGGGGGAUGGAAUUCCGCGUGUAGCAGUGAAAUGCGUAGAUAUGCGGAGGAACACCGAUGGCGAAGGCAAUCCCCUGGACCUGUACUGACGCUCAUGCACGAAAGCGUGGGGAGCAAACAGGAUUAGAUACCCUGGUAGUCCACGCCCUAAACGAUGUCAACUGGUUGUUGGGAGGGUUUCUUCUCAGUAACGUAGCUAACGCGUGAAGUUGACCGCCUGGGGAGUACGGCCGCAAGGUUGAAACUCAAAGAUUAGACGCGNGAGAGAGCGACGACGACGACGAGGGAGGAGG
rnacentral:rRNA from 1 species